rnacentral:rRNA from 1 species
GACGAACGCUGGCGGCGUGCCUAAUACAUGCAAGUCGAGCGAACAGACGAGGAGCUUGCUCCUCUGUCGAUAGCCGCGGACGGGUGAGAAACGCGUGUAUAACCUACUUAUAAGACUGGGAACACUUGGGGAAACCGGAGCUAAUAGCAUAUAAUAUAUUGAUCCGCAGGGGUCGAUAGAGAGAGACGGUUGUGCUGUCACUACUAGAUGGAUCCGGGCUGCAUUAGCUAGUUGGGAAGGUAAAGGCUUACCAAGGCGACGAUGCGUAUGCGACCGCACAGAGUGAUCGGCCACAUUAGAACUGAGACGCGGUCCUGACUCCUACGGGAGGCAGCAGUAGCGAAUCUUCCGCAAUGGGCGAAAGCCUUGCGGAGCAGCGCCGCGUGAGUGAUGAAAGUCUUCGGAUCGUAAUACACUGUUUUUAGGGAAAAACAAAUGUGGCAGUAACUGUGCACGGAUUGACGGUACCUAAUCAGAAAGCCACGGCUAACUACGUG